rnacentral:rRNA from 1 species
CCGGCCGCGUCGACCACACGGAUAGCAUACCGAAAGGUAUGACUAAGUACGGGAUAACAUUAGAGGAAUUCGCAUUCGUUUUCCAUNUACAAAGCUCUUGGCGUACGAGGAUCGGACCCGCGUCUGUAUUAGCUAGUUGGUGAGGUAACGGCUCAACCGAAGGCGACGAUCAGUAGCCCGACCUGAGGAGGGUGAGUCCGGCCACUAGUUAGGAACUGAGACACGGUCCGACUCCGUACGGGAGCAGCAGGUAGGGAAUUGUGACAGUGGGGCAACCCUGAUCCAGCCAUGCCGCGUGUGUGAAGAAGGCCUUUUGGUUGUAAAGCACUUUAAGCAGGGAGGAGAGGCUAAUGGUUAAUACCCAUUAGAUUAGACGUUACCUGCAGAAUAAGCACCGGCU